rnacentral:misc_RNA from 1 species
GAUGAAGAACGUAGUGAAAUGCGAUAAGUAGUGUGAAUUGCAGAAUUCAGUGAAUCAUCGAAUCUUUGAACGCACAUUGCGCCCCUUGGUAUUCCAUGGGGCAUGCCUGUUCGAGCGUCAUUUGUACCCUCAAGCCCCGCUUGGUGUUGGGCCCCGCCCGCUGUGGCCGGCCCUAAAGACAGUGGCGGCGCCGCCUGGCCCUCAGCGUAGUACAUCUCUCGCUCCAGGGUCCGGUGGCCGCCUGCCAGAACCCCCCAACUCUGUGGUUGACCUCGGAUCAGGUAGGGAUACCCGCUGAACUUAAGCAUAUCAAUAAGCGGAGGA